GUUCGAGGUUGGAGUCGGUGGCCGAUUCGGCUCCGGUUUUUUGUUUUUCAACAGGCGGUGGGCCGCCUCCGGGCUCCAAAAACUGGGACUCGCACCGGCCCCAACUCGUUGCUGGGCCAGAGGUGGCCCGAGGUGAGAGCCCAGUACGUCAGGGGCUGGGGUUACAGUCCGACCGUCAACAGCGGAAACACAGAAGCGCCGUUUUUAAACAGCCGAGCGAGCAGCAGUAAUGUUCAGUGUUUGUGUUUUAAAAACCGGUAAAUAUAGAAGCAAAAUCCAAGCAGCAACGGUCUGAGGAGGAGACCCAAAGCUUCCUGGAACUGUGGUCUUCAUAUUAAAUUCAGUGGAAGUUAGAGGGAGCCUCUUGGACCACACCAGUGUUCGAAACAAUCCAGUGGGAGAUGGCUACAGCUGUACGAACGGAGCCUGACUAACUCCUCAACAACUAAAAAGUUCAGAAAUGACGACAAGAACCAGAAAAGGCAGCCGGGAUGCAGCAGUUUUUGGCCAAAAAGAGCCCCAAUUUUUUCCGGCUGCAUUCCGUGAUUCCAACCAGGUCCCUGAACGCAACAGCUGAGCAUUCCGUGAUUCCAACCGGGUCCCUGAACGCAACAGCUGAGCAGGAGUCGAUGCAGGCCGCAGUACCGAUCAUGAUAGUUGUCGGCCUAGGAUGAUGAGGUCCAAUUACCAGGAUCACUACUCUGCAGCUUACUGGUUCCGUCCUGCAGCUCCUUCAUGCUGUCCUCCUCGCUACAGACCAAAUCAAGAUAAAGGAACCAGGAUGCUACUGUGGAUCUGCUGCAGUAUCUGGGGAUGUCAGAGGAACGGUUCUUGAAACAGAUCUGAAGACACCGAGACCUGACCACUGCCCUGCUCCAGAACAUCCAGAGGACAGAUGAAAAUUCAAUCACCUUUGCUGGACUGAUGGGACGCAUGGUGUCGGUGCUGGAGCGACUGUCACAGAAAUAAACUGCAUUGUCCACUAUUCCUGCCUUUUAUUAGAAAAAGGCAGGAAUAUUUUUUAUAAAUUCUUUUCCUUCUUAGCUAUUUAAGUACACUGGUAUUUUACUCUUGCACUUUGGGUGAAUACAAAUAUAUUUGUGAUGAAAGAUGCGUGUUUUGUCUAUAAUCUACAGAGAUUUUAUUCAGUGUUAAGUGCACACUUCUACAUACACACAUUUUGACAGAUAAUCAGUUGUGCUUUUCAAGCAGAUUUCAUUCUGAAACAUAUCAGCAACAUACCGGUAUGUUGUUUAUUACAACAUAUGUCACACCAAGCUGGAUAAACUGCACUACUGCAGCAGAUAUAU